rnacentral:lncRNA from 1 species
UUUAAAAAUGUAUUUAACAGCAAGCUAUCUAGAGUGUAAAGGAAAGUUCACAGAUGAAAAGAUAGCCUGGACAGUCAUAUGUGGAACAUCCAUACCCAAGGGCACAUGCUUACUGAUAGGAAUCUGUGAACUCUGUGUGUGCCGUGCAGUAAAGCUCUUUAACUAUUUCACAGCAGGGCUGGAACACCCAUGCAGAAGAAUAAAGGCAAGAUGUCGCUGACUUAAGAUUUGGAUACUGACAGAACAACCGUUGUUAUGUAGAAUUGUUGGUGUCCUGCACAAUGUCUGCAAAAAGGAAAGCUGGGGAUGUUUUAGUUCAUAGAAGCAAGUCUACAAUCAAAAUUCUGCCCCAAUGGGUAUUUAUGUACUCCUGUCUGUGCUUCAGAAAAUGUUGAAUUUUGUCUUAAGUAGAAAACCAGUGAAGACCAAUUCAUUAAAAACAACAGCCAUAGGAGAAGAGAUGCACUCCCAAGUGGCCCCCAUCACUGACCAGACUGAACUACAAGGACUGAGCAUGAUGAGUGGAGGAUCAGUGCCAGGUCACAGAGAUGAAUACUGCAAGCACUGCUGAUAGAUGCAAUAG